CAAAUCCACUGGUUUAGACACCAGGCACCAAUUUAAUCCUGAUACCAUAGCAUGAAUGCGAACAUACGGCUAAUAGAUUAUGUGUUCAGUAAGCUCCCUUUUCACCUUGGAGAAAGCAUAUAGUUACAUCACUGAAAGGAAGAAGCUGUAUAGAUCUGCCUUAGCAACAUGUUCAGCUUCUGUGAGGGAUGGGCUUCUCUUUGUGUGACACCACAGCCUGUAGUUAACACCAAGGGGAGGAAUGCAGAACAGCACCGGGGGGUGCUAUGAUCAUAUGCGGGUUCACUUUAUCAAAUAGUCUUUGAAUUUGCUCCUGAUGCUGGUUAGAGGAGUGGAUGCUUGCUGUCCUUGCCAACUUAUGUCAGCUCUUCCCGCAGAAAAUGUUGAGCAGGGUGAGAAAUAUGCUCUGUGAUCACAGGGGCUCCUGAUAGACGAAACAGGAUCACACUGAUUCUGGGGGUUUGCCUUUUUCCUGUGCUGUAGCAACACGGAGCAUUAAAACAGCUUGCCAAAACUGAAGGGCUUUCAAGCCAGUAAGUCAGGACACUCCUUGUUUCUUAAUAUUAGUGAUAUCAACUGAAUUGGCUAAUUAGGGACAUACCAUUUCUUGAUAUCAAUCCUGACAGGUAGUGGGGCUCUGGCAGAGAGAACAUGCUGUGUGACACAGCAGGAUGAGUUUGCACUGAAUUGCAAUUCCUCUCCACCUUCUUCCUUACGUUUGUAAUUUGCGCUUAGAAGUUGAUGAAGACAAUGCAGUCAGUCCAUGAACUUCAUCUGAAAUGAGCAUCAGCUCCCGAAACGGUGCUAACAUCAAGAUUAUCAUUCUGAACAAACACAAGGAGAAAGGCACUGCAGUCACAGCUGCUCGUGGAACAUCUAGUACCUUAAGUCGUGACACCAUCCAUGAAUUCUCUACCCAAAAGCUGGGUGCAAGGAUGAGCUCCAGCUGCUCAGCUCAGGCAUAUGUGAAAGAGGAGACGGGAUGUGCAACAGGAUUGAUGAAACAGCUGGAGGGCAGCAUCUACAUGUAUAAAAGAGCUUGCCAGAGAAAGACAGCGGGGAAGACUGCUAUAUUUGGUACACAGGGAGGCUUUCAGACUGUGAAGGGGGCAAGAUCAGAUGAGUGCAUUUGGAUCUAAGGACUCAGGGUAUUGUGCGAAGAUCUCCAGUUGAAGUUCAGUUCUCCCAUUCAUCAGCACAGGAUCUGCACAAAAGCAGAAGCUGUUGCCUGACCUUCAAGGCAGAACCACAGUAGCACCAUCCAGGAUAGACAUCUGUGUAUGUAAGGAACACCAAAGCAUCAUUUAAGUGCUACUGUGGAAGCAUUUGCCAGAAAGGGAAAACUUUCAGAAGAGGGAGAAAGGCCCAGAGAGACUGCAUGGGCUAUUCUUAGGGCUUUUUAUUCCUCCAGUCCUCCUACAUUCCUCCCUCUCACACUCUGCAGCUGCUAUGUUGAGAUCUCUUGCAUGGUAUUAACCACUUAUUGAACUUUCCAUCAGGUAGCUUCAUGGAGGACA